CGCUCGGAUAACUUUUUGGUUGGUUGCCGCAGGGUGCCCGAUCGCCCAGGCCCCUUUUAAACUUGGUCUCUCCACCGCCCUCUCUUUUCGGCCACGGCGCGCGACUCGGCUCAGUCCAGUUCAAGAUGUUGACAAACUUCAGGGCUGCUGGCCUGAAGGAAGCUUUUCACGUAGAUAACGUGUAUUUGCACAUGUGGUAAUAUAUGUGUGUAUAUAUAAUGUUUUUCCUUCCUUUGUCCAUUUCAUGGUAGUAGCAGAGGUGAAUUUUGAGCAGGUGCCAAA